GGAGACGUAUCGAAGUGGUCAUAACGGGGCGCACUCGAAAUGCGUUAGCCCUUAACUGGGCUCGAGAGUUCGAAUCUCUCCGUCUCCG
rnacentral:tRNA from 2 species